CAAUGGGGCAAACGCAGGGAACUGAAACAUCUAAGUACCUGUAGGAGAAGAAAACAAUAGUGAUUCCCUGAGUAGCGGCGAGCGAACGGGGAACAGCCCAAACCAAGAUUGUUUCGGCAAACUUGGGGUUGUAGGACUGUAAUGUGGACUUAAGAUAGAUAGUAGAACUACUUGGAACGGUAGGCCAGAGAAGGUGAUAGCCCUGUAGACGAAAUCGAUUUUAUACCUAACAGUAUCCUGAGUAGUGCGGGGCACGGGAAACCCUGUAUGAAUCAAGCGGGACCAUCCGUUAAGGCUAAAUACUCCUGAGAGACCGAUAGUGAACAAGUACCGUGAGGGAAAGGUGAAAAGUACUCCGAAUAGGAGGGUGAAAUAGUACCUGAAACCAUACGCUUACAAGCGGUCGGAGGUCUUCGGACUGACGGCGUGCCUUUUGCAUAAUGAGCCUACGAGUUACUCCUCACAAGCGAGGUUAAGACUUUAAGAGUCGAAUCCGAAGCGAAAGCGAGUCUGAAUAGGGCGAACUAGUUUGUGGGGGUAGACGCGAAACCGUGUGAUCUACCCAUGGGCAGGUUGAAGCUGUAGUAACAUACAGUGGAGGACCGAACCAGUACAUGUUGAAAAAUGUUUGGAUGACCUGUGGGUAGGGGUGAAAGGCUAAUCAAACUCGGAAAUAGCUCGUACUCCCCGAAAUGCAUUUAGGUGCAGCGUUGAGUUAAGUAUUAUAGAGGUAGAGCUACUGAUUGGGCUA
rnacentral:rRNA from 1 species